rnacentral:rRNA from 1 species
UGAGACCUCAGGUCAG